GAUGAACGCUGGCGGCGUGCUUAACACAUGCAAGUCGAACGGUGAAGGCGGAGCUUGCUCUGCUGGAUCAGUGGCGAACGGGUGAGUAACACGUGAGCAAUCUGCCCCUGACUCUGGGAUAAGCGCUGGAAACGGCGUCUAAUACUGGAUACGAGCUGCGAAGGCAUCUUCAGCAGCUGGAAAGAAUUUCGGUCAGGGAUGAGCUCGCGGCCUAUCAGCUUGUUGGUGAGGUAAUGGCUCACCAAGGCGUCGACGGGUAGCCGGCCUGAGAGGGUGACCGGCCACACUGGGACUGAGACACGGCCCAGACUCCUACGGGAGGCAGCAGUGGGGAAUAUUGCACAAUGGGCGAAAGCCUGAUGCAGCGACGCCGCGUGAGGGACGACGGCCUUCGGGUUGUAAACCUCUUUUAGCAGGGAAGAAGCGAAAGUGACGGUACCUGCAGAAAAAGCGCCGGCUAACUACGUG
rnacentral:rRNA from 1 species